UUUAUUACGUGUUUUAAAUUUCACAAAAAACUUCUCUCAAGAUCUUCAUCCCUCUGCCAAAAUUCUCUCUAGAACUCUCUUCAUCUCCCUUCACAGAAAUCCACAAUUCUCUAUGAUUCUCACCUUGAGAAUAAUAAGAUAGUCAUGUGGUGGUGUUUGGUUUUUGGAAGCUUUGGUGUUCUCUUGUGUUGUUGAGUUCGUGAGAAGCAGAUUUCCUGGUUUGUGAUCACUCACUAGAGAAGAAUUAACGAAGAAAGAUUCUUCAAGAUGCUGGCAGUGGCGAACCCAAGGGACCCCGAUGCUGAACGGUUGGCCAGCGGACAAGUCGAGUGUUGGGGAUGGCGCUAAACAGUGAUCAACACCACUUUGAGGGCUAGAGAGAGGAAGAAAACAUGGAAAAGAGAGGGAGAGGGGCCUACUGCGCAACGGUCGGUGGGGUGAACAGUGGGCAUCGGAGGCCGGCAACGGGCUACUGUUCACAAGGCUAAGCGGCGAAUGGUCGGCAACGUGGAUGGGGAAAAAACUUAUAGAGGAGAGUGUCAGAGGUUUCGAAUAAACGUGGAAUUUAAACUUUUGUAUUUGUAUUAAUUAAAUAAUGUAAAAUCUUUAAUACAAUUUUUUUAUACUUUUAAAAUAAAUUAUAAUCUUUAACAUUAUUGAUUUA